rnacentral:lncRNA from 12 species
AUGGAGGAGGCGACACACGCACACGCACACACACACACACACACACACACACACACACACGGCGAAGAGGGGAGUUUGAUCUUGUCUCAUUGGCGUCUCGGGCCUGAAAGGAAAAUCGUUUGGGUAAACAGCCAAGCUUCCAGGCUUAACGCCCGGCUCCCGCCCCCGCCCCUCCGCCCCCUCCCGCCUCCCCCACUCCCCUUCAACCCCACCCGCCACCCGCACUCCGCUCCGCCGCCGGGCCCCGAGCGAGCUCCGCGCGCCCGGGCGGGAGCCGAGGGCUCCCCGGGUUCAAAGGGCGGCGCAGCCCCGAGGGAAUGCCCUCCUCGCUGUGCCCCGGGGGGCAGAAGCGGACUGCAGGGCGGUGGGACCGGCCUGGGCCACGCCCUGGUCAAUCAGAGCUAAUAAUAUCACUCUUCACUGGGGAUGGCGGCUCCGGCAAGUUCAAGAUACAGAAUCUCCGAACGUGGCAAGGAAAUGCAACCUGGCCUACUUCUUUUGGAGGACAGAGAGAUGUGGAGUCUUCGUGGUGAAGCAACAUACAAAUUGGUAGCAACCUUCUUGGGAUCUGGCCCACUUCUACCACAGUAGCUGAACUUUAUAAGUGCACCUGGUCAAAUCUCUCGUUUGCUUUUUUCUUUAGUAUUCUCUACAUGUUCAAUGUGGGGCUUGAACUCCUGACCCCUAGAUUAAAAGUCCCACGCUCUACUGCCUGAGUCAGCGAGGCUUCCUUGGUCAGAUCUCUUGUAUGGCUAAUCCUGCCUUGGCUUCUGCUUCUCUGUGGAUCUAACUGUGGCAGAUCUGAGCUUUUUUUUUUUUCCACCAGUGGGAAGAUUGGCUCUCCAUGUAGACAUGGGCUCUGAUGCCAGGAGAAGAUGGUCCCCUUACCCUUGGUGUCUUAAUGACCUCAGAAAAUUUCUGAUGAAUACCAUAGGACAAACUUAGAAGAGUGAGAGUAUUUCAAAUAUGACAUUGUGUUGAUUUCUUGUGGCAAAAACAAGAUGACUUUUGAGUCAAAAGCCCUACUCUUAGAUUUCUGGUUCCCUGCUUACUUGGGUAGGGAAAUGAAGAUGUUGUGCUUGGCAAGAACAGAUCACUUUACUUUCAUCUAGAAAAUUCUCAUCUGCUCAAAGUUAUGAGAUGAAAACAGACCAAAUGAGAGUCUUAGAAAAACAGCUAUUUUUGCAUGCAGAGUUAUCUUCUGAUUGGUUAGUAACUCAUAGUGACUUUCCAACUUUUUUUGGAGGCACAGGGUCUGCAACUUACUACUUUUCUUAAAGCAAAGGAAAAAAGGACAAAACCAACUUCCAUAAUGUGGCACACCAGUCACGUUGCUUGGGCAUCUGGCUUGUGAGAGAUUCUCAAGUAUAAAAUGGUUAUCAAAGAUGGGUAGAAGAAAGACUACUGGAAUUCAGGAUUUCCUUCAGUCUGAUAGCUGGAGUUGAAUCAGCCAGCAACAGUUGCUUUGCUUCUCUGACAUAAAGUCACUGAGCGCUCGCCUAACUGAAUCCCUUUUGUGAAGAAAGUUGGGAGAUUCUUGGCUGCUGAGCUGACGAAAACAAAAGGCAACAAUGGGAAUAACAUCUUUUUAAAAAAGAUUAUUUAUUUAUUCAUGAGACACACAGAGAGAGAGGCAGAGACAUAGACAGAGGGAGAAGCAGGCUCCCUACAGGGAGCUCGAUGCGGGACUCAAUCUCAGGACCCCAGAAUCAUGCCCUGAGUCAAAGGUUACACGCUCAGCCCCUGAGCCACCCAGGCCCCCUUAAAGCCUCUUUCUUGGAGAAAACACCAAAUGACCGAUAGAAAAGAAACCAACAAGAUUACCUGCUUUCACUCAGCCGGUAGGGGCUGAAUGGUAUUUUCCAGCUUCAGUCCAAACAAUUUGUACACCUGUUGAAGAGAAAAUAAAAUUUGACAGUGGUACA